rnacentral:lncRNA from 1 species
CUAUCUUUGUGUGUUAUGAAUAAUUGCAGUUGCAGUUUGAAAAAUAUUACAGCAAGUUCCUCUGUCUUAUUUGAAUCUUAUGGGGUGUUAUGAAACGGAAUUUGUUAUUGUUUUUUAGGCAAUGAAGCAUGAGAAGGGAAUCUAUAGAUGAGACAAUCAUUUACAUUUUACCAAACAAAUUGACUUGAUGAGCGAUACGCGAUCUAGAAAGGAAUAGGCAAGCGUGAAACAUGUAAACAAAUUGAAGGUUGUACGCACCAGGGGAAAUGAACUGCCAAUGAAUUUUCCUUCCAACUCUUAUUAUUCCUCCAUUUCGUCUAAAAUGCUAAUCAUAAUAUUAUAAUUUGUCAUGUCAAAACUAAGAAAAACGAUUCAUUUUGAGUGUCAAUUGCUUUUGUGACACGUCUUGUGGGUUUAUAAGUAUAUUAGGAUUGGUUACUGUUAUUGUACAAAUCAAUUUUGGGUACUGUUAUUGCACAAGUCAAUUUUAGUAAUGAGUUACAUUCACCAUCGUCUAACAAUUGUAUUACAAUGGAAAUCCCUUCUUAGGAGUCUCUUAUUGUGAACACGAUAGGACGACUUGUAGAGUUACCCCAUUGAGAAAAAUAGACCACCAUAUCGUUCGUUCUCAAAAGGGUUUAUUGUAUUGAGUCUAUUGACUACUUAGAAUAAAAGGCAUGUCUUAUGGGGACCAAUGAGCCCAUCAUCUCCACCUAUAUAAUGCGAGGGCAUGUUUGAGCCACAUUUAAAAAAAAAAAUACAUUCUUAAACAAUAAUUUGACAUCAUUUCAAACACACAUUUUUCAAUAAAAUAACAUUACAUGCAAAUCCAAAACUUUCUUUAUUUUUUAACCACACAUUUUCCAUCAAUACAUUAUUCGAAAAUUCAUUCUAAGCAAAAUAAUGUGGCUCAAACAAGGGCCUAAUAAAAGCCAUACCACUCCCAUUAGCCUGGCUCCAAGAAACCUUUGUACCCUGCACUCCCCAAUCAACACCUAGAUGAAGUUGGCAAUGUUACUUUAAGUUAAACAAUUUACCUUAAUGACAAAAGCAUUACUCUUCUGUUUGUUCUUAUGCUUUUUUCUUGUGUCCAUUAAUUCACAAAAUGCAAAUGCAAUAGAGACGCUAGCACUUCUUGAAAUCGAUAUUAAAAUAAUUGAUUAUCCCUUCAAUUUUCUCAAUUUCUUGGAAUGAAUUUGCACAUUUUUGCCACUGGCCUGGUGUUGAUUGCACUAGAAGACAUCAACAAAUUACAAACUUGAAUCUGCAGCAUCAGAAACUAACAGGAUCUCUGUCCCCAUACAUUGAAAAUCUUACAUAUUUUAAAUUAACUUAUUCUUGAUAACAACUUCUUUACAGAAAACAUUCGUCGAGAACUUGCAAAGUUGAGAAGAUUGAGAUUCUUAUGGCUAAGAAAUGACUCAUUUGAUGGAGAAAUUCUUGUCAAUCUGUCUUCUUCUUCUAAUCUCAUCGAGAUUUGCCUUUCAUGGAAUAAUCUUUAUGGGAAUAUUUUUCAAUAGAACUUGGAUCUUUGCCAAAGCUUCGGCUGAUUCAAGCUCCAAGAAAUAGUACUGUAGGUGAAAUCCCGAGUAUUUUUGGGUUUCAUCCCUGGAGAUUUUCAAGCUUUCCUCCAACAGGCUUAUUGGGAGGAUUACAAAUGAAUUUGGACAACUGAAUACAUUGGAUUAAGUGAAAACAUAUUGUCUGGUUCUCUCCCUCCCAUAAUUUCAAUCUCACUUCUAUUACAACUAUUUUUGUGCCAAUGAACCAAAUGCAAGAUACACUUCCAUCUUACACAGGCAACAGAGUUGGUGGAGGCGGUGUUGAUGGUUUCGACUCCAAUCAUUAGAGUAUAGAUUUUCUAUGAUUUUUUUUUCAUUUUAUCCUCAUAUGUAUAUUAAUAAUUUCUUUCGAAUAUAUGAUGUCUUAUUUCUCUACCUUACUAUUCUCUUAUGUGUCUCUAGCUAUGUUUGCACGUAUUAAUUUACGCACCCUUUUCAAAAAGCAUCAUAUUCUUUUCAAAUUAGCUAUAUUCAAGUUUAGACGAUGGAAAGAUAUUAUAGGAAUUUUCAUCAAGUGAGAUUCAAGUAUAUUAAUAAAGACAUCGCGUACUGAGUUACGUUAUGAAGUUGUCGAGGCACGUAGUUGACUUGGAG